GUGGCAGAGCAGAUAACGCACUGGUUUGCUAUGCUAGAAAUCCCGGGUUCGAUUCCCGGC
rnacentral:tRNA from 1 species